rnacentral:lncRNA from 1 species
AUUUCUCUGUGUUGCAGGAAAAGCAGGAUUUGUUGAUUCCACUUCCCUUGGUUGGAAAGCUGAGCAGCAGGGCUGAAAGCAAACAUGUCCAUGGAUUUUUUGACUAUUAUUUUUUUAAAGCUUUUUAAAUGGGGAUAUUUUCUUACUAAGCUUUCAAUUUAGACUGAGUCAUACUAGCUGUUACAGGAGGGAUUCCUCUCUGGAUUCCAUACAAGGCACACAUUAUCUAUUUACAUUUGGAUCAGUUGCAGGAAGAGAUUAUCAAAUUCAUUUCAUUAACUUUAAACCACUCUCCCAAACUCCAAAUUAGUGCCGAUUUACAAGUAACGUUCUGGGCUCUGUACAGAAGAAUAAUAAGGCUAUUAUUCCUGGAGGGAAAAUGAUCUGUUGAUUUAGCACACGAUAUUCUUAUUAAAGGAAAACCCAGAAAUAAAACUGAGCUUGUGCUGACAUGAAAUGGGUCAAAUACUUUCAAAGUUCUGGGUGUGUUCCUUUUUUUGUGCUAUAGCAAUACACAGAAACAAAUAUGGAGUCAACAAAAAAUGCCUCUAACAGGGCUCGGCUUCCCAUCUAGAAAAGUUACAUGUAAAACUAUGAACUAUUAACCUAGGAUAAUCACAGUCUGCUAAUCUGCAAUGGACCAGAGAGUACUGAGUAAACAGAAUACUAACUGCUUUUGCAGAGGUUACAGUGCAAAGAUUGUGAAUAUAGGAAGCCAACAGCAGACGUGAAGUUCACAGUAUUUCACAAGAGGUGCCUAUAAAGAGAGGAGGUAUCUGGAAUGGGUGUAAGAGACAUCAGGGCUUAAAGACUCUUGUCUGAAUGAACUUUCAGCUCCAAGUUUCAGAGGGCUGUGUUUACUCCUUCUGGAACUUCUGGAACUGGACUAAGCCACUUCUGGUGAGCUACAGCAGCACACGAGAACGCCGUUUACCUUCCCGCUGCAGCGGUACCUAUUUAUCUACUUGCACUUUGACGUGCUUUUGAACUGCUAGGUUGGCAGAAGCAGGGACCGAGCAACAGGAGCUCACCCCGUCACGGGGAUUCAAACCGCCGAUCUUCUGAUCAGUAAGUCCUAGGCUCUGUGGUUUAACCCACAGCGCCACCCGCGUCCCGUUCACUAGGUACUCCUCUGUUAAUACAUAGGAUCUCUCUCCACCAACAACGUACCCCAUCACUCAUAAUAACUGGCAUUUUGCUAGCAAAUUAAAUAAAAGACACUACUGUGCCAGGAGGGAUUAUGAGAGAGCCAAGAAAUUUUGUACCCAGAAAGGGAGCGGAGGGAGUGAAUCUUCCCAAACAAAUGUGUUUGAAAGGACUCCAAGUCACACAUUCCAGGGGCAUAAGGAAGCUUCCUUUAAUUAUGAUGGAUUUAUGCAUUUCAGGAGAUCAACAUAUGAUGUCACAUGCUCAAUUCCUUUUUGAUUCUGCAGCUCUGCUUUUAGGUUUCAAUAUGUAUCUUCCAUGUGGUAAGUCCAUUAUAUAUAGGGUCUACAACCAAGACACUGUGCUAGUUGUCAGCAAGAAUUUUACAUUUCCCCAGCUGCGAGUGUGUUAUGUUUGCCUGAAGCUCAGAGGAUGUUCCAAUCACUCUGAACCACUCCAGCCUCCUUGGCUGGCUAUAGAAGCACCUUAUCUGCAGAAUUAAAAAGUCCUACUUCUUGCAUGGCUUUUGUUACCACCUGCAUCUCUAAGCUGCCUGCUUCAGCUACCAGCUUAUACUUUCUUUUUGUUCUUUUAUUUGGGGGGGAGGGAGAUCAAUUGCCAAAAUGACUAGAUUUGACAAAUCCAAUAUUUACAAAAGAGGCUGCAGCUUAUGAAAGAUGUACAUGAUUCUUAUCAUGUGUUAUGCCCAGUCCUGAUGCAGAGCAUGUUUCCAAGUCCUUGGGUGACAAACCAGACCCGCCACUGAUCAAAGACAUGAGGGAGCAGGUGGGGUCUUCUUGGUGCUAGCCCCAAAGGCUCAGAGAUUCUGCAAGAAACCUUCAGAGGAAUCUCUUUAGGAGCCUUCAGGAUCCGAUCCAAUACAAUUGCCAGCAGAAGAGCCUCUGGUGGAGUCAGAGGGAGAGAUUGGGCCACCCUCCAUUCCUCAAGAGUGCAAGCAUCUAAAGGUCCAUGCCUGGGUCAUGCCUGAAGAUCUAAAAUUGGUGUGACUCUGGGGUAAAGAACUUCUUAUGAAUAAGGGGCUCUCCAUGCAACCUCAAAUAUCCAACAGCUUAAGUCAAUUCAACUUGCAUCUUCAAAAUAUUUGGAGGGGGGGAGUUUUGGUUUCAUCAGAAGCUUUUGUGGUGGUGUAAAAAAGUAUGAAAACAAUUCACUUUGAAAGAUGUUGCAGUGGAGGAUACAAACAAAUAUCAUGUAGGGCAGGGGUGUCCAACAGCUCAAUCGUGAUCUACUGGUAGAUCCCCGGGAGGUUUUGGUAGAUCGCGGUCGAUCACUGGCUCCCUUUCCAUAGCGGUGGUAAAAUAGAAUCCGGCCCCGUCCCCUUGUUCUGUCCUCCAUUGUUGCAUGAUCUCCAGAACAGAAGAUGGAGUUUUCACAGUGAGGCUGAUUGUUUGAUAGCGGCUUUUUGGUGAGCGACUCUUCCCCUUUCCUCCCCCCCAAAAAAUUACUUAGUCCUGAACCCCCCCCCCAAAAAAGGGGUAGAUCACUGCCAGUUUUUUAUUGUAUGAGUAGAUUGCAGUCUCUUAGGAGCUGGCCGUCCCUGAUGUAGGGUGAUGAUAAUUAUCAUCAUUAAGCUUUGAAGACCUGGUUUCCAAAUCAGUAUUUUACAAAAUAUGCAAAUGACUAGACGUCCAUGAUGGUGCUGUGAUUGCAACAAGGCCUUGAAUUUCCUUGAAUUCAUUUCCCUCCACUGUGAAUGGCUGAAGUGUCCAUCAUUUACCAGGUUAAAACAGAGCAACUUUACUGGCUCUGUCAGCAACCUGCUUACAAUAGGGGCUGUGCUACGUAUACCAAACACAUCAUAUACUGCUUAUAUUAAUGCCACGUUAGGGUAACCUGACACUGAAACACACAGUAAAUAACAUAUCUAUAUUUUAUAAAUGCAUGUUGAAGAAGAUCAGUCACGCCUGCCUUGUCAAGACUCUGACUUCCAAAAAUGCAGAAUUUAAGUUUUGUCAUGCAUGGUAUUUAUUUUAUUUUGCCAAAUGUUUAAACUUAUCCAAUCUCAAAGGCAAUGACAUUACACAUUACAUGCAUAUACAUGUAGUUGUAAUGUUCUGCUGUCUACCCUCAAACUUCCCCAGCCUAGUACCCAAUUUACUUUGUGAGAAGAAGUAGGGAGGGUGGGGGAACAGGCCUGUACGUAUGAAGACCAUGCAUUGGAAUCUCCAUUGGGCAGUUUCUCCCAUUUAGAACUUUGGGAAUACCUACAUGUGUGAUUACAGUGGUACCUCUGGUUAAGAACUUAAUUCGUUCUGGAGAACCUGAAACUGUUCUUGACCUGAGGUACCACUUUAGCUAAUGGGGCCUCCCACGGCCGCCGCCACAGCACAAUUUCUGUUCUCAUCCUGAAGCAAAGUUCUUAACCUGAGGUACUAUUUCUGGGUUAGCGGAGUCUGUAACCUGAAGCGUCUGUAACCCGAGGUACCACUGUAGAUAGUUACUGUGCUAGCAACUACCAUACCUGUUGGGAAGGGUUGAGCAAGGAAUCUUUCUUUUGCGCUCUGCAGAACUGCCUGCCUAUUCAUCCUGAUUUCAAGCUUGCCUCACUUCUACGGCACAUUAUUUUUGUAAAGAUCUGGGAUAGUCUUUUAAAGAACUCAUAAUUUCAGCCACAUGCAUGGUCUCCUUGCUAUUCUCUUGCUUGCUAGGUUCCCUGAUGUUUCAGUGAGGGCUUAAUAUCAAUACUUCCUCUUGACUCGUACUGAGAAAAAGAGAGAAUGGAGCAAAAGUAAGAGCAGCAGAAUAUGUCUGGCACAAUAUAGGGAAUAGAAGAACUAGAUUUAUAAAGCCUUUAUCAUGCUAGAACUUGUUAAUGCAAAUACUGAAUGGCCCAAAUUGUAAGCCAGCUUUUGUUCACUUUAUGUCAUUUCCGCAAUGUAACAUUCAAAAAGCUUUCUUUAUGUCCGUCCAUCCAACAUAAAAGUACAGAAUACAUUCAAUCUGUUUAUGGUUUGGAGAGGAAAGGUAUGUUCAAGGUUUAUGAGGAUAGGACCUUGAGCUUCUAGUUCUCAUCCCUGCCCUACUGAUUUACUCAAGCUUUUAUAUUAAGGCUGCCUUUAACUUGAAGUAUGAAUGUUUCUGCAGAUUUAUGUCAGACAAUGUACAGCAAUAUAUAGUAACUUGCAGUGUGAAAUGAUCAGCACUGCAAAUAUGCCCUGUUCUUCCAUCAGCUGAACAUUCUAGUCAGUGUCAUAUAGUUGCUUUAGUGCCAACUACAUGUUACAUUAAGCACUUUAAGAAACGAAAGUAUGCUUAACCCUGGGCACUUUUAUUGAAAGGAAAAGCAGGCUCUAUAUAGGUUUUUGGACUAUACAAGUGUUUGGUCUGAUCCAACAAGGCUUAAGUUCUUUUAUACGCAGCUACUCUCUGCCUCCAGGGGUUCUGUUUAUCGUGCAAAUAAUUAUCUCUCCAUCCAUUACCUAAUCAGCUCACAGGUUGUGAGUUAAACUGCUCAGGCUAGCUUAUUGCAAAACUAUAGUUAGUCCCAAGUAAGUUGGUAUGAAAUCUUAGGCGAUUGCUUUUCAUCACUAAAGUAUUGGGACCUGCUCAAAAAGGAGUGCACUGGGGAUGCUGUGCUUAUUCAUCUAAAUUAAGGAGUGGCCUAUAUCCUUAGGUGCCCCUUUUGUCUCUCCUGAAACUAGGCUGAAAUGAUCUGUAUGAUGGUCAGAUUAUACAAUAACGUUGACAUCUCCUUGGUGCAGCUUUUAGUGUUAUGAAGCACAUGUGCAUGGAUAACGUGAGGCCAUUGCCCUCACCGCUCUCUCAAAAUUCAAACUGUGGCCCUUGGUCCAAAAAGGUUGGUGAGCCCUGUUAACAGCUGAGUGCAAAUAUACAAGUCCUUACAGAACACACAUUGGAGUAUGGCAACAAUUCUAGAACUGACUUGCAGUAUGGUAAAACAAUUCACUGAACUCUGAACCGAUGCAUGAUGUUUUAUUUGUUCCAUUAUUACACAAGAAAUUUAAAAAAGAAAGGGAAUUGCAAUCUUCCUUGCUCGAGCAUUUCAAUUCAUACAUUCAAGUAUAAAUGAAGUUACUCUGGGGGGAAAGGGGGUUUAUGACCAUAUAAAAGCACCUAAACAAUUUCCACUGAUUUCCCCUCCUGCACUAGAAACUGAAGAUUGGCAGGUUUCAUACCAAGCAAGCUGUUAGCUAUCUAGUGCACUAAUGCUAACACUGACUCAUGCUUGUAGCUGUUUUCCCCGCACAUAAUAAAACAUGCCUGUAUGUGUUCAGGCAGGAAGGCAUUUCCAAGAGAAUGUAUUGAAUGCCAAGGAUUUGACCAUCUACCACUUAAGCCAUUAGGAGUUUUGCCUCUGAUUUAUUGAGGACAAGCUGGACCCAGGCAGUGAAAGUGUGAGCAAACAUCAUUUUAAAGCCAGGAAGCUCUUGAUAAGAUUUUUGUUGCUGUUCCUUGGCAUAGCUUGCUGAUUCAUUUCUUUGCAAGUGUAUCACAACCUAUCCAUCUGUGUUGAGGCAGACUGCAGCACUGGGUAUAUGUGACCAGUGCAACUGCAAAAAGUUCCCUGCCACACAUGCAUUUCAAAACAUGAAAGUAUAAAUAUAUAAAUAAGACCACCCCAUGCUCCUCCAGCCAUUAAAUGGCUACCCAAUGCUCAAAUUUGUGCUCUGGCAGACCUUCACUAAAUUGAAUUUCAGAGUUAAGAAGAAACCCAUUGAAUGCCUCUGUAUUCACCAUAGUUUAAUGCCUGCCCAUUAAAAAAAAGAAAGUAGGCACGUUUUAAAUUUUUGUGGCUGUGACAAUAUUCUUGAAAGUGCAUGAGCGGUGCUACUUAAAUCCUGUGGCUGAAUGCAGGGCCUCAAUGCUCAACACAAUUCCCUGUCCUUCUGCAUGCAUAGCUGAAGAUUGUUCAGAAUCUGGGGAAUUGUGCAAAAUUGUUGCGUUUGCAUUGUCAAUACGGGUCGCAGAAUUUGUCUUUUUCUAGAAUGUGUCUUUUUUUUAAAAAAAAAAGAUAUUUAUUAAGAGUUUACAAGUUACAGAAAAAGCAAGAGAACAAUAAAGAAUUAUACAAAACAAAACAGUGCCUUACAAUACAUCAAAAAACAACAACAAUACAAUAAAGCAACAACAAAAAAACAGAACAAAAACAUUUAAAAACACAUCCAACCUUUCCAUAUCUUUACCUUUCAUAUACUUGUUUCAUCGACCUCCUCACACCUCCCUUUUUUGUAUUCUAGUUCAAUUAGCUAUUUCAGCAAGUCCUUUCCAUCUUUCUCAAUUUUCGUUCUAAAAUUUAACUUAAGACACUCUAAUCUUAAAUUUUCCACUUUGGUCCAUUAACAAUCUAUUUUUACUUAAUUCUUUAUAACAUUUCUGCUAAAGCCAUAUAGCUUCAUUCCAGCAUCCUUCUAACAUUCAUUAAUUUUGCAAUAUUUCUGUAAAUAUACUUUAAUUUUUUUCCAAUCUUCUUCCACCGACUCUUCUCCCUGGUCCCGGAUUCUGCCAGUCAUUUCCGCCAGUUCCAUGUAGUCCAUCAGCUUCAUCUGCCAUUCUUCCCUGGUGGGUAAAUCUUGUGUCUUCCAGUGCUUUGCAAUAAGUAUUCUUGCUGCUGUUGUGGCAUACAUGAAAAAAAUUCUAUCCUUCUUUGGCACCAAUUGGCCUACCAUGCCCAGGAGAAAGGCCUCUGGUUUCUUUACAAAGGUAUAUUUAAAUACCUUUUUCAUUUCAUUAUAGAUCAUCUCCCAGAAUGCCUUAAUCUUUGGGCAUGUCCACCAAAGGUGAAAGAAUGUACCUUCAAUUUCAUUACAUUUCCAACAUUUAUUAUCGGGCAAAUGGUAGAUUUUUGCAAGCUUGACUGGUGUUAUGUACCACCUGUAAAUCAUUUUCAUUAAAUUCUCUUUUAAGGCGUUAUAUGCCGUAAACUUCAUACCAGUGGUCCAUAACUGUUCCCAGUUUCUAGAAUGUGUCUUAAGGGCUUUGCUGUUUUUAAAACUUAGAAUACAUGCAGCAAAGAUGAGUAUGCUGAUCUGAGACCAUGCAGGAGCCUGAACUCUUCAUGCGUUUCAUAACCUACUUUAAAGUUCAGAAUGCCCCAGAUAUAAAGUUCAAAAAAUGUCUUCUGGGGCAACGUUCUAUAUCUGUGCUUGGAAAGGAUUGCUGUUUCUACAGCUAUUACCUGAACAAUACUAACAACAAUAGAUGAGGGAGCUAUUUAUUUCCUUGGAAGGACGCAAAGACUACCAAAGUGAAAAUUUCCUGUUUUUGAAUGCUUCUGAAAAGUGGAGAAUGUUGAUUACUAUGACAGCCGUAAGGAAUAUGCAGAUGUUGCUGGAGAUGUGUCAUUUGCACAAUAAUCCAAUAAACAAUUGGUGUUUUGAAGCCUAUUGUUUACAAUUAAGCAAGUCUUGCCUGAAUGGGAGUAUCAAGGACGUUCUGUCCUGAACCUAACAUACUAACUGAAUUUUUGCUCAUUUAAAGAUGUUUAAUAAGCAAAUUUAUUAUAUAGAAAACAGAAAACUACAGAAUUAUAGAGCUUGGCUGUAACAUACAAGCAACAAGGCAUAUUCAACAACAGAAACAUUCUGGUCCUAAAUUAUCAAUAGGAAACUCAUUCUCUGGUUGCCUAUCCUUACGUAGCCCAAAGAGUACCAUCAUUUCAAUCGAUAAGAAGAAGGUAUCAGAUUGGAGUGAACCCUAAUGUUUGCAGUUAAGAAAAAAGAGGGAACCCUAAGGGAGACCCCCCCAAAAAACCCAGCCCAUUAUAAACAUAGAAAUCUGUCUUAUACCGAAUCAGACUACUGGUAUACAGGCAACAAUCAAUUUGUAUGGGGCUUAGAUUCCUGAUCCCCUUAUGCAUUGGUGGUGCAUGCAUAAGUUUCACUCCGCCCCAUUCCGCUCCAUUCCGUCUCCCAUUCUGCCCCCUUUGCCAGCCACUUCCGGAUCACCACGAUGUGCAUGUGUGUGGUCAUGCAUGAAUCAGUCGUUGCCUG